GCCUCUAGCCCGGAAACCCCCAUAUGCCACAGGAAAAGCUCACAACAAGUCCUGCCUUCUCGGAAUAAAAGUCAGAACUUGAAUUCCCAGCCUUCCCUGAAGGAAGGAGAAAGUCUUGACCCUCCAAAUGCUCCCAAGCAAGACCUGAAUUUGGAAAGACAUCCGGCUUUCAGUGGUGGCAGCUGUUUCCCAGACAUUGCAAGGUCAAUGGGACCGGAAGUUUCAUUAGUGCAAGCAGAGGUGGCAUGUGCGACCAAGCAGGUAUGGGGCACUGGGUGCCUCAUGCAGAGGCCACCCGCUCUAUUCCUGGAGUCUGAGGCUGGGCUUUGGGAAUGCUCUUGGAAGUUCAGUCCCAGCUCUUCCUCCCAUCUGUCGGUGACUCUGUAUGUUCUAACAUCAUCUAAGAGAAAGCCUAGAAGCUCACCAGACCCAUUUUCUCUCCACCCUUGGGUACCCACAGAGCUAGACUGCCUUUCCCAGCCUUCCUUGCUUUUGUGUGUGGCCACAUGACUGCUGCCUUCUAACUAAUGGAACAUGGACAGAAGUGAUGCACUUCCAUGCCUGGUCCCUAAAACCCCC